AGCGCGAGCCCUACUGGCGGUGGAGAGGUUGUCAUACCCGCUUUGGAGCCACAGGACCUCGAAAUACGCUCCUUACAACGUGUUUUAUAGAGCGAAGUCUUGCUAUGCCACCCAGGCUGGACUGCAGUGGUGCCAUCGUAGCUCACCGCAGCCUCGAACACCUGGGCUCAAGCGAUCCUCCCGCCUCAGCCUCCCGGGUAGCUGGGACCACAGGUGCGCGCCACCACGCCGGGCUCUAACCGAGUUUUUAACCAGACCUGUUGAUGGCAACUUCUGGGCUGAGGCAAAUGGGAGCGAGCACCAGCUGGGAAUUUUUGUAUCAGCUGGAUUAGUUUUUUUUCCCCCUAGACGAGUCUACAAAAUCCCGGAUAUUUCCAGGGUCCUGAGACGGUUCCCCACCUUCUUCUGCGCAGAGGUUGCCUGUUGGGGAUGAAUCGCUUAGCGAGACCCAGCUAUAGCUGGCUACGCUGAGCUCCGGCCCCGGAGCGCGCGGAGAGGCAGGAUCUGCUCCCGACCCUCUCGUCUAGCAGGCAGAACCAAGGCUUCAGGAAGAGAAGCGGCUUUCGCAGUUUCACGCUAGGACGGGCUAAGCUGGGAAUCGAUCCCAAAUUCCACACUCCCAGUCCUUUGCUGGGUCCUGCUUUCCUGACUGCGUCUCAGGCCCAGAGGUGAUGGGGCACACAGCGUUAGGGAAUGGUAGAGCUGGAGAAAAGGGUUCGGCUACUACCCUCGGCUUUGCCAAACUUAACAUAUUGAAAUUCCAUUCCACAAAUGUGUGUUGCGUCUCUGGGUACAAGACAGCGUAAUGAGCAUCGUGAGAAAUCUAAGACGAAUCCCUAAGCCGUCGCUGUCUUCAAGGAGAUUACAACCAUGCUAUAAUUACAUACAGAGCUGUAUCUCUAAUAAGGACCCAACCACGGUUUUAUCUGGCUAGUUUUUUGUUUGUUUUGAGCUCUGGUUAUUCCCCAUAGCCAGGAAAAUCAAAAUAUUAAAAACAAAGGUUGGGGCAGGCCAGAAGAAAAAAACAAAGCUGAAACUACCUAAAGCACUGUGUUAAUUAACAGCAUUUGCUGCGUGCCUUCUGUAGGUAAAAGCACCAUACUAUGGAGGGAAACAGAAAAUAAAUAUUAAAAAGAUAUGGUUUCCACUUCCAGUAGUUUUCAAUGCUCUUUGAUGUUUCGGGGUAUAAACUAAAUAAAUAAGUAAAGCAAGAUGGAAAAAAAUUAGCAAAUGACAACUUUAAAUAAUAAGCUUUUAACCAGAAAAUUGAUAAACCAAGAGUGUAAAUAUUUAAGGAUUAUAAAUAUGCAUAGUAAACACCCUUUCAUGAGAUCAGAUGGUGGGUUUCAAUUUUAUAUAAAAAUUAUGGUAACUGGAAACCGGGCGGAUUAAGUAGUGUAGACGAACAGACAAGAUAUUGCAUAUGUGUAGAGGAAAGAUAAAUAUUUGUAUUCGGUGCCAUUCAAAUAUGGUAGUCUUUUCACUACGUAGAACUACGCCUUGAAAGCAAUAGAUACUACACUGUAUAACUUAAUUAUUAACUUAAGCUCUGAUUAAGCAAACUCAGUAAAACGUUCAAUUGUCCCUGAGACUUGAAAUGUAUUACUGCAUCAGGGAUAAAGGAAAAGUCAAAUUAUUUUAGUAGAUGAAAUUGAAAAAGUUGCAGUCUGUGUGUAUAUGGUGCAUCCCCCCCAGAUCUAUCCAUAAGAAUGGCUUGCUUUUUGCUUAUUUAUAUAAAACCCACUAUGUUAAAAUAAUGAUUUUAAUAAUUUACAAAUUUAUCAAUGAUCUACACAUCCUAAUUUUCAGUAAUAUGCAGUAUUUGUUGCCAAAUGAUGUAAUACAAUUAUCAAUGUCUGAAGAUAAUAAAACCAAGAUGAGUA
ensembl:lncRNA